rnacentral:piRNA from 1 species
UACCUGGUCUUAUUCCGUGCUGGAUGU